CCCUCGGAGUGUUAUAUCAAACGAAAGUAGUAGGUUCUUAGAACUAUAAAAUCGGACAUAAUGAACAGGGAA
rnacentral:sRNA from 16 species